CGAAAACUACGAAAGUCACAACCGUGUCCUUAAAACGAAUAAACCGAAACGAUGGUGCAUUCGUGUUUCUCAAUAUUUGAGUCGAUCACAUUUCGAGGAAUUAUGACGAUAUACGCAGCAUCUCGCUUCGCUGCUGUUGGGUCCAACCAUAUCGCGCGAUAAUAACGCAAGAAAAUAAGACCUUCAAAAUGAAGAAGUUGAAAACAGAUGGCAUAUUGAUCUUACAC